CAAAAGGCUAAAUACAAGGCAAAGGAGCUUUCACCAGAAUAAGUCAUUCAAUAAAUGUUAUAUUACUAUACAUAGCACAGUUGAGAUAUAAAAACUGGGCAUAUUAAAUUUUGACCUGUCGCACAUUAUACUAGACACAAAAUAUUCGACAAUGAAGUGAGAAGUUUUUAACCAACCUAAAAUCUGAUAAAUUAUAUACUUAUAGGCAUCUUUGAGAAAGAAUUACCUCUUAUUAAAAAAAAACUUUCAAUGACUUUCUAAAAGGCCUUGGCUAAUUUCAUUAUACUUAAUAAGAGUCGAUUACAUUUCUGUUAUUAUAUCACAGAUAACAUCUUUGAGAAUUUUAGCAAAAAUGGUCUACUUUACAUUAAAAUUAUGCAAGACAGGGAAAGGAAUACAGAGUAAAAGACAAAUUGUAAUAAUUUCAUAUCACAACUAAAACUUUGAAAGCACUUGCAGUCUGCCAAACUUUGUUCUAAGAGAUUUACAUACAUUAACUUCAUUUGCUUAAGAUCGGACUUACAUGGUCUUAGAAAAGUACCUGUACAGAUCAUGUUGCCAAGCUCUCUUAUUUCAUAGAUAAGGAAUAUUCAUCCAAACUAAGCUAAGUUCUUGAGAUCACACAGCUCCUUAGCAAAGUCAAGUCUAGGUGAGCUUCCUUAUCUGAUCUCUACCCAUUACAUCACAUUUUCACUAAUAUUAAAAGAAUAUUAAGUGUCAACUUGAUUGGAUUGAAGGAUGCAAAAUAUUGUUUCAGGGUCUAUCUGGGGAUUUCUGGUUAUCAGUUGGCUGGAGGAGAAAGACCCACCCUCAGGAAGACCCACCCACAAUGCGGGUUGGCACCAUCCAGUGGGCCUUCAUAUUUCUCCUGUGCUGGAUGCUUCCUGCCCAGAAUGUCAAACUCUAAGUUAUUUGGCUUUUGGACUCUUGGAUUUACACCAGUGGUUUGCCAGGGGCUCUCGGGGUCUUUGGUCACAGACUGAAGCUUCCCUACUUUUGGCUUCCCUGCUUUUGAGGUUUGGGACUGAGGUACUACUGGAUUACUUGCUCCUCAACUUGCAGAAGGCCUAUCAUGGGACUUCACCUUGUGAUCAUCUUUAUUUAAUUUCAGCGAGAAAAUGGAGAUUUGGGCCUUCUUCCAAGACAUUCCUUAUUUACUCCUCCCUGAUGUCCAAGAAUUCUACAAUCCUAGACAGAAGAGUUGGCAGAAGAAGUUGAUAUGUUGGUGGCAAAGAAAACCAUUUUAAUUCUAAUUUCUCACUUUUAACACCUUGUCCUCCAAAAAAGUAAUAAUGUAGUAAGUAUAGAUAAAAUGCUACAUCAUAGUGUUAUGCUUGGCAUAAUUAGUGAGCAAAAGAAAAGUUAAGACAUAAUCUCUGUUAUGAGAAGCUUGUACUCUAGGGUUACCAGAGGCUGUGAAAAAAACACAGCCUCUCUGCCCCAGGGCAGCCAUGUAGGCCUUGGAGAAGAUGAGAUUUAUGGCCAGUAACUUCAGCUGUAAGCGGCCUUAUUUUGAGUUCCCUGGAGAUCACCUUAAGUCUACUGGUACUUUCUGUGGUACUCUUGAGCUGCUGAAUGGUGUUGAGGAAGUUCUCUACCAGACAUCCACUUCUGAAGCCAGCAAGUGUUUGUGGGAUAGUGAUAAAAGGGGUUUUCAUAGAUGCUCCUUAUCAGGCUGAGGAAGUUUCAAUCUUAUCUUUUCCUAGCUUUUUGAGAGUUUUGAUUUUAAUUAUAAAUGAGUAUUUUUCAGAAAACAUACUUGCAUUAUUUUAAAUUUAUGGAUACCUAUAUUUUAUGACCCAUAAAAUUACAUCUUCAAAAAUUACAUUUUCACUGGACAGUAAUAUUAUUCUGCUGUUUUAUGGUGGGGUGGCCUAUAAAUGUCAUGUUGUUAACCUUGUUCAAAUCUCCUGUAUUCUUAUUGAUUUUCUGUCUACUUGUUCUAUCAAUUAUUGAGAGAUGAGUGCUGAAAUAUCUCACUAUAACUGUGAAUUUAUCUAUCUUUAUCUUUCAUUUCUAUCAGGUUUUGCUUCAUAAAUCUUAAAGCUCUAUUAUUAUGUGUAUAAGCAUUUAGAUUUGUUAUUUUUUUUACAAAUUAAUGACUGUCAUAAAAAGACACUCUUUAUCCCAUAAAAC
ensembl:lncRNA